rnacentral:rRNA from 1 species
AUUGAACGCUAGCGGGAUGCUUUACACAUGCAAGUCGAACGGAGUGGCGGACGGGUGAGUAAUAUAUCGGAACGUGCCCAGUAGUGGGGGAUAACUACUCGAAAGAGUGGCUAAUACCGCAUAAUAUCGGACGGGCCGAGAUGGGAUUAGCUAGUUGGUGGGGUAAAGGUUCACCAAGGCAACGAUCCGUAGCUGGUUUGAGAGGACGACCAGCCCUACUGGAACUGAGACACGGCCCAGACUCCUACGGGAGGCAGCAUUGGGGAAUUUUGUACAAUGGGGGGAACCCUGAUACAGCCAUCCCGCGUGUAUGAUGAAGGCCUUCGGGUUGUAAAGUACUUUUGGCAGAGAAGCGGUAUCUGCAGAAUAAGCACCGGCUAACUACGUGCCAGCAGCCGCGGUAAUAC